rnacentral:sRNA from 1 species
UCGUCGAUCACGGUCGGCGAGAUGAAGUGGAUGUGGGUGUCGAUGGCGCCCGCGGUGACGAUCUUCCCGUUGCCGGCGAUGAUCUCGGUCUCGGGGCCGAUGACGAGCGCCGGCUCCACCCCGUCCAUGGUGUCGGGGUUGCCCGCCUUGCCGAUGCCGCAGAUCCGGCCGUCGCGGAUGCCGACGUCGGCCUUGACGAUCCCCCAGUGGUCGAGGAUCACGACACCGGUGAUCACCGUGUCGGGGGCGCCUUCGGCGCGGGUCGUGCGGGCCUGUCCCAUGGAUUCGCGG